rnacentral:rRNA from 1 species
UACGUAGGGUCCGAGCGUUGUCCGGAAUUACUGGGCGUAAAGAGCUCGUAGGUGGUUUGUCGCGUUGUUCGUGAAAACUCACAGCUUAACUGUGGGCGUGCGGGCGAUACGGGCAGACUGGAGUACUGCAGGGGAGACUGGAAUUCCUGGUGUAGCGGUGGAAUGCGCAGAUAUCAGGAGGAACACCGGUGGCGAAGGCGGGUCUCUGGGCAGUAACUGACGCUGGAGGAGCGAAAAGCCGUGGGGGAGCAAACAGG